AUUCCGCAAUGGACGGAAGUCUGACGAGCACCCCGUGGAUGAAGAAGGCGAAAAUUGUAAAAUCCUUUUGUUGAUGAAGAAUAAGGGUGAGAGGGAAUGCUCAUCUGAUGACGGUAAUCGACGAAUAAGCCCCGGCUAAUUACGUGCCAGCAGCCGCGGUAACACGUAAGGGGCGAGCGUUGUUCGGAAUUAUUGGGCGUAAAGGGCAUGUAGGCGGCUAUGUAAGCCUGAUGUGAAAUCCUGGGGCUUAACCCUAGAAUAGCAUUGGGUACUGUAUAGCUUGAAUUACGGAAGGGAAACUGGAAUUCCAAGUGUAGGGGUGGAAUCUGUAGAUAUUUGGAAGAACACCGGUGGCGAAGGCGGGUUUCUGGGCCGAUAAUUGACGCUGAGAUGCGAAAGUGUGGGGAUCGAACAGGAUUAGAUACCCUGGUAGUCCACACUGUAAACGAUGUACACUAGGUGUUGGGGGGCAAGAGCUUCAGUGCCCAAGCAAACGCGAUAAGUGUACCGCCUGGGGGUAUGCCGCAGGGUGAACUCAAGGAAUGACGGGGCCGCACAGCGUGACUGUGUUAUCAUGUACCAGACUACUGUGCUUAUAA
rnacentral:rRNA from 1 species